GGCAAAGGGCAUCAUAGAAGGAUCUCGAGAAUCCGGAUGAUGUCUAGAUAGGCGGCUCGUGCUGUUUUGAAACACAGCCAUUCACAGCACAGCUGCUUCAGCGGCAUUUAUCUGACUCACACACACACACACACACACACACACAGAGAGAGAGCUCUGGGCGAACCAUCUGACAUCGAAGGGUUAUUCGCUCAGAAAGACAGCAAUCAGCCAUUUUAGUCCUGCGCGUAUAUGCCAAAAAAGAACAAAGCUUUCAUGAGGCACAAAGGCAAAAGACCGAGAGUUUUAGACAAUAAUAAAAACCUGCUCUUUUAUUUACGUGAGUUGACUGUUUUCGCGCUGAAUUCUAGCAUGUGCCACAUGUGACGAUUAUAGGAAUGUGGAGCAUGGGAUCACAACAGCCAUUCACCUGCAGCUUGGAAUCAUCUUGGGAGAUGACAGAUGGAUGCAUAGGGAGGAUCGAAGCCUGCAAAGCAACGUCGUAAACUCACCAUGGACCAGGGCUUCAGUUUCAGCACACUGAAGAAGUUAGCGGCUGAGCCGGAUCACACUGACGUCACUCUGCCGGCAGUGGAGCGUGUACGGGCCCUCAGUAAAAUGGGCUAUAACAUUGAAAUAAAUGAAGACAUCGCCCCGAGACGCUACUUUCGCUCUGGUGUGGAGAUGGAGCGUAUGGCAGCUGUUUAUCUAGAGGAGGGCAGUCUGGAGAAUGCCUUUGUCCUCUACAAUAAGUUCAUCACUUUAUUUGUUGAGAAACUCCCCAGUCACAGGGACUAUCAGCAGUGCAACGUCCCUGAGAAGCAAGUGAUAAUGAAGAAAUUACAGGAGGUUGCUUUUCCACGAAAGGACCAAUUGAAGAGACUUCUCCAUGAGAAAUACAGCAAAGAACACAGUGAAUAUCUGAAGAGUCAGACUCAAGCCAUGGCUGUUGACACGUGUGGUGAACGGCUGCAGAAGAUGUCUUUGAUGGAGGAGGAACGGCAACGUGUGGCACAGCUCAGGAAGAUGCAAAUCGAGUCCGAACAGUUUCGCUUCUUCGAGGACCAACUGCGUAGACAGGAGAUGGCCAGUCGCAGGGAUGAGGCUGUCCCCAAAGUGCCUGAACAAACCGAUGGGUCCUGCUUAUCCCAGACCCCGAGAAACCAUGUACGCCUUGACCCCAAUCGUAACAAACCAGCGGCCCCCACCCCCAAACCAGCAGCCACCUUAGCAGCUGUACAGAGUCAGCGUGUGGAAGGCCUGAGGCGGGUUUUAAUCCCACGAGACCUGACUUACAGGUUCCUUUUGCUGGCUGACAGCAACACGGCGAGAGGAAUUGAGACAUGUGGUGUUCUCUGUGGAAAACUGACGCACAAUGAGUUUGUGCUGACCCAUGUGAUCGUCCCCAAGCAGUCCGCCGGUCCUGACUACUGUGACAUGGAGAACGUGGAAGAGCUGUUCAGUUUCCAGGACCAUCAUAACCUCCUGACCUUGGGCUGGAUCCAUUGUGCGCUUCACCAGAGAGUCGGAGAAGGUGAGUCGCUUGGGAGAAGAGAGCGGGCAAAUUCGAGCAAAAUGGGAAGUGCAGAUUUAACUCUCAAUGGCUCGAAAAUGACUCUUUCGGAGAUAGGUGGCAACAGUGACAGCAAUGAAGCCAAGUGCAUUUUAAGCCGCAAGACGUUUAAAAUGGGUACUAUGGGAAUGAGGGCGAAUUACAGAUCUCUUUUUUAUAACAGACUUUCAUUCUGUUUUCUUUUUUAAACUGGUUAUUGCCCAGAGGUUUGAGAUUUAGCGUGCUCCAUGUCAACCUUUCUUGUUCAACUAAGCUAUGCCACUCAAAGUAGACGGAGCAACUUUUCUCUAUUUACGGAUAUGGCGAGGCACACACAGGCGGGUGAUAGAUGUACGCAAUUCCUAGAGAAAAUCAUAAAGCCUGGUCUUAAAUAUAAACACUUGUAGGAUUACCUUAGACAAAAACACGGUUUGGAAGGAUUGAUGUUUUGACUCAUUAUUUAAAUCGUUAAUUUUGAGUACAAAAGUUACAUUGUGUACCUUUUAAUUUGCGCAUUAUCGGUAGAUCACCCGCAGAACUUUGCACUCCCAUCUCUGCUUUUAUGUGAUUGCAGUCUCACGCUAAUUUGCCCAGUUUAGUAAAUCUGGCCCAUAGUCUCCAAGUCACCUGUUGUUCAUUUUGCAUGGUGAAUUAAUAUAUGGCUGCUUGAGAAUAAGGAGAAUAAUACUAAAUGGUGUUAAUAUGAAUAUUUGCAUGUUUAACUCCCAGACACACCCGACACAGACGGCCUUCCUCUCCAGCGUGGAUCUACACACACACAGCUCUUAUCAGCUCAUGCUGCCUGAGGCCAUCGCUAUUGUUUGCGCACCUAAACAUAAUGACACGGGAGUGUUCCGACUAAC